CACUACGUGCCGACAAUUAGCCAUCGCUCAAUUGGUUUUGCGGUGAUAGACGUUAGCAGCCGGGCAACCUGCCCUGCAAAGUUCGAUAACUUCGGGAAAUUUGUGAUAAAUAUGAAUAUUUUUUUGCCCUUCCUGGGGCGAAACGAAAACACAGUUGCGGCUGACAUUGCAGGAGGGGCCCACGGCGCAUUAGCUAGUUGGGGGGGUAAUGGCCCACCAAGGCGACGAUGCGUAGCCGACCUGAGAGGGUGAUCGGCCACACUGGGACUGAUACACGGCCCUUACUCCUACGGGAGGCAGCUGUAGGGAAUCUUCCGCAAUGGACGGGAGUCUGACGGAGCAACGCCGCGUGAGUGACGAAGGUUUUCGGAUCGUAAAACUCUGUUGUGAGGGAAGAACAAGUACCAACUAACUACUGGUACCUUGACGGUACCUCACCAGAAAGCCACGGCUAACUACGUGCCAGCAGCCGCGGUAAUACGUAGGUGGCAAGCGUUGUCCGGAAUUAUUGGGCGUAAAGCGCGCGCAGGCGGUCCCUUAAGUCUGAUGUGAAAGCCCACGGCUCAACCGUGGAGGGUCAUUGGAAACUGGGGGACUUGAGUGCAGAAGAGGAAAGUGGAAUUCCACGUGUAGCGGUGAAAUGCGUAGAGAUGUGGAGGAACACCAGUGGCGAAGGCGACUUUCUGGUCUGUAACUGACGCUGAGGCGCGAAAGCGUGGGGAGCAAACAGGAUUAGAUACCCUGGUAGUCCACGCCGUAACGAUGAGUGCUAGUGUUAGGGGUUUCCGCCCCCUAUUGCUGCAGCUACGCAUUAAGCACUCCGCCUGGGGAGUACGGCCGCAAGGCUGAAACUCAAGGAAUAGACGGGGCCCGCACAACGGUGGAGCAUGUGUUUAUAUUCUAACAACGACUAGAAACCUUACCAGUCUUGAAAUCCCGCUUGACCGCUA
rnacentral:rRNA from 1 species